rnacentral:rRNA from 1 species
UACGGAGGGUGCAAGCGUUGUUCGGAAUUACUGGGCGUAAAGAGUGCGUAGGCGGCUUGGCAAGUUGGGAGUGAAAGCCCGGGGCUCAACCUCGGAAUAGCUUCCAAAACUGCUGAGCUUGAGUAUGGUAGAGGAGAGUGGAAUUCUUAGUGUAGGGGUGAAAUCCGUAGAUAUUAAGAGGAACACCAGAGGCGAAGGCGACUCUCUGGGCCAUUACUGACGCUAAGGCACGAAAGCGUGGGGAGCAAACAGG